CUCUUUAAGGUGAGAAUCCUUGACAAUCCUGUGGGGCUUAUAUCUCUAGCUGGGUUAGAACAAUCCUUGAAAUGUAUAGAGUAUUAGUGCAGACGUUAAAAUCAGGA
rnacentral:ribozyme from 1 species